rnacentral:rRNA from 1 species
AUGAGGAGGAGAAACUUUCAAACAAGUGGAGAUAGGCGAGGUGACAAAGUGAGGGCCCUAGAGAUGCCUAGUACAUCCCAUAAACAAACAUAUGGUUCUACCAUGAAAGAUGUAGAUGGCAAAGUGGAGGGACUUCCUAUUCAACUACCGAAUGAUUUAUGGUUGAGUCUUGGACAGGACUACGACACCCCCGACCCAUUCAAAUUCCCCUCUCGAGUAACUUUUCUUUCACUCCACCCAUGCUCCCCUUGCUCUGCAUCCGCACCCUCCUCACCCCCAUCGCCGAUGUACAUGUUCGGACAUCGUCCAGGCAUUGCCGAAUGUCUGCAUCCCACACCCAUGUGCCUAGCCCCCUUGGACUACGGUGUCGUCAAAUCAAGAUCCGUUCAUAGCCAGAAAAAGCACCAUGCACCCUACAACUUGCACAGGAUCCAUGAUCACAAUAUGAAGUCGUUAUCCCAUCGGUGGUACACCAUCUCCAACUCCAUCAAGAAGUUAUGCGGUGCGAUUGCACAAAUGGAGAGAAUGUGGCCACGGGGCUCGCAAACUGUUGGCAUUAUGUAA